ensembl:misc_RNA Y_RNA Y RNA
GGCUGGUCCGAUGGUAGUGGGUUGUCAGAACUUAUUAACAUUAGUGUCACUAAAGUUGGUAUUCAACCCCCCACUGCUAAAUUUGACUGGCUUAAA